rnacentral:rRNA from 1 species
GUGGGGAAUAUUGGGCAAUGGGCGAAAGCCUGACCCAGCAACGCCGCGUGAAGGAAGAAGGUUUUCGGAUUGUAAACUUCUGUCCUCAGGGAAGAAGGAAGUGACGGUACCUGAGGAGGAAGCCCCGGCUAACUACGUGCCAGCAGCCGCGGUAAUACGUAGGGGGCGAGCGUUGUCCGGAAUGACUGGGCGUAAAGGGCGCGUAGACGGCUGUCUAAGUCUGGAGUGAAAGUCCUGCUUUCAAGGUGGGAAUUGCUUUGGAGACUGGAUGGCUUGAGUGCGGAAGAGGUAAGUGGAAUUCCCAGUGUAGCGGUGAAAUGCGUAGAGAUUGGGAGGAACACCAGUGGCGAAGGCGACUUACUGGGCCGUAACUGACGCUGAGGCGCGAAAGUGUGGGGAGCAAACAGGAUUAGAUACCCUGGUAGUCC